AGUAAUGCUUGGGAACAUGCCUUGAGGUGGGGGACAACAGUUGGAAACGACUGCUAAUACCGCAUAAUGUCUACGGACCAAAGGGGGCUUCGGCUCUCGCCUUUAGAUUGGCCCAAGUGGGAUUAGCUAGUUGGUGAGGUAAUGGCUCACCAAGGCGACGAUCCCUAGCUGGUUUGAGAGGAUGAUCAGCCACACUGGGACUGAGACACGGCCCAGACUCCUACGGGAGGCAGCAGUGGGGAAUAUUGCACAAUGGGCGCAAGCCUGAUGCAGCCAUGCCGCGUGUGUGAAGAAGGCCUUCGGGUUGUAAAGCACUUUCAGUCAGGAGGAAAGGUUAGUAGUUAAUACCUGCUAGCUGUGACGUUACUGACAGAANANNNNCCGGCUAACUCCGUGCCAGCAGCCGCGNNAAUACGGAGGGUGNCGAGCGUUAAUCGGAANUANNGGGCGUAAAGCGUACGCNGGCGGUUUGUNAAGCGAGAUGUGAAAGCCCCNGGNCUCAACCUGGGGAACUGCAUUUCGAACUGG
rnacentral:rRNA from 1 species